GCGGGAGUGGUGGAAUCGGUAGACACGCAGGAUUUAGGUUCCUGUGCCCCUGGGCGUGUGGGUUCAAGUCCCAUCUCCCGCA
rfam:Microbacterium sp. 69-10 SCNpilot_expt_1000_bf_scaffold_1788, whole genome shotgun sequence.